rnacentral:rRNA from 1 species
AUGGCCCCUAAUAGAGCCCCUGGACCCGACAAUAUCCCUGCUGAGUUCUAUCAGGUGUGCUGGGAUAUAGUUAAAGAUGAUAUUAUGGCCUUUAAAGCCUUCCACCAACGGACACUAGAUGUUCAGAGGAUUAAUUAUGGAGUUAUUACUCUGCUCCCUAAAGUUUCUGGAGCCGAGAAAAUCCAGCAAUACAGGCCUAUCUGCUUGUUGAGAUGCCCAUAUAAGCUGAUCACCAAAGUCCUUGACCGAAGAGUUGCUAUAUAUGCAAACAAACUCAUUAGCCCUACUCAGAACGCCUUUGUAAAGGGGAGAAAUAUCAUGGACGGUGUCUUGUCCCUUCAUGAAAUUCUUAACUACACUUAUGUUAAGAAGAAAGUGGGGAUUGUCCUUAAGUUGGACUUUGAAAAAGCCUAUGAUAAGGUGAAUUGGGACUUUCUCCUAGAAUGCCACAAGAUGCGGGGCUUUGAUGAUACGUGGUGCAGAUGGAUUGAAUAGAUACUGCAUAAUGGGGCAGUUAGCAUCAAGCUUAAUGGUAGUGUUGGGCCGUAUUUUCAAAGCAAAAAAGGGGUAAGGCAGGGGGACCCACACUCUCCUUUCCUGUUCAAUCUAGCCGUUGAAUGCCUUACCAAAAUGAUCAAAAAUGCCCAAAAAAACAAACUUAUUGUGGGCUUGGCUGCCGACCUUAUUCCUGAUGGGGUGGCGGUCCUGCAAUAUGCGGAUGAUACAAUCAUUUGCAUUGAAGAUGAUGUUGAUAAGGCAGUCAACCUGAAGUUGCUGCUGUAUAUGUUUGAGAUGAUGUCUGGUCUGAAAGUUAACUUUCAUAAAAGUGAGAUUCUCAUUAUGGGUGGAGAUGAAAGUGUGGUGAAUAAAUAUGUAGAAAUCUUUGACUGUGAGGUUGGCAGCUUCCCACUCAAAUACUUGGGGAUGCCUGUGAGCUAUGCUAAUCUAAAAACCUCUGAUUGGGAGUUUAUUGUUGGUAAAUACCUGAAGAGGUUUGAGGCCUGGAUCGGCAAUGCUACCUCAAUGGUGGGGGAGACACACUCUGCUUGA